GUGCCAGCCGCCGCGGUAAGACGUAGGGGGGCGAGCGUUGUUCGGAUUCACUGGGCUUACAGGGUGCGUAGGCGGCUUGCUAAGUAGGGUGUGAAAGCCCCCGGCUCAACCGGGGAAUGGCGCCCUAAACUGGCGAGCUAGAGUGAGAUAGGGGUGUGUGGAACUUCCGGUGGAGCGGUGAAAUGCGUAGAUAUCGGAAGGAACACCGGUGGCGAAAGCGGCGCGCUGGAUCUCUUCUGACGCUGAGGCGCGAAAGCCAGGGGAGCGAACGGGAUUAGAUACCCCUGUAGUCC
rnacentral:rRNA from 1 species